rnacentral:lncRNA from 1 species
CCUUGUCUACUUAUUUUUCUUCAUCAUAUAUUCUUUAACGGUGGAAAAUAAGUAAUCAACAAUUUAAAGUGUUUUUUUCACUAAAUCACUCCUUGAACUAAUUCUAAUUAAUAUAUUCCUAAGGAGAUUAUAUUGUCCUAUAAAUAUAAAGCUUCACGUUAGGCAAGUGUGAGGUGUAGAGAAACAAAAACAAACAAAAACUUACAGUACACAUUCUGUCUUCUAUGAAGCAUAUAUGUCCCCCUCCUACAACUUCCUACAAACUCAGAUAUUUCAAUGUAAACGACCCCAAUUUCAUGAGAUCACUGACAAUGAUCUCCUAUGCUCUCUGAGACGAGAGACUCCGACCGCUGCUUAGGCAUUAUAGCGAUUCUUUGCGUUUCUGUCAUUCUUCUUUGCAUCGUCCUGAGAAAUAGAAGUGCUAGGUGUGUAAACCACUCCGAAAAUUGUCGUAUAUGUUCAGAAAUUUCAGCUACAAAAGAAGUGUACUUACGUGAGUGACAAACCCAAUACUGUCGUUGUUAUCGAGGAACUCCUUCCACUGUC